UACGUAGGGUGCGAGCGUUGUCCGGAAUUAUUGGGCGUAAAGAGCUCGUAGGCGGUGUGUCGCGUCGGCCGUGAAAACCUGGGGCUCAACUCUGGGCGUGCGGUCGAUACGGGCAUCACUUGAGUUCGGCAGGGGAGACUGGAAUUCCUGGUGUAGCGGUGAAAUGCGCAGAUAUCAGGAGGAAUACCGGUGGCGAAGGCGGGUCUCUGGGCCGUUACUGACGCUGAGGAGCGAAAGCGUGGGGAGCGAACAGG
rnacentral:rRNA from 1 species